UAUUUAUAUCGUGACGAGAACAAUUUAUAUAUUAAAGAUAAAUAUAUUUUGGAGAUUAAAACCUGUCGGCGAUGGACAGUAAUAAGCACUUGAUGUCAA